UUCACUCUAUUCCCCCUCUCCCCCCUCCAAUCCUAUAAUGAGUCCAUCCUGCGGGAAAUCGCAAUCUUUUUACUGCUCUGCUUUCGAUCCUGGGAGCCAGCCCGCGCUUGUACAUUCAUUUCCACCGCACUAACAUGCUACCCACUCAACUCCUAAAUCUAAAUGGUUCAGAAUUAAUGUCCCCUAUACAUACAGCUUGUCUCGUCACAACCUGCCCAAGCAACUGCAGCUAUGCUUCUAGUACCAAUUUGACCUCACAAAUCACCAAGCUUUUCACGCUACUGCAAUUAUUAUAACCUUUCCAGAGACAGUUACAUCACAGUUUGUUCCACCUGUCUCAGGUUCCUGCUGCUGCUGCUAUCUAUCAGACCUCCUCAUGCCCCUUAUUUGCUUCCACUCGGACCUCUCCCUACAGCAGUCAGCACCCAUCGGAACGCCUCGCUCUCUUUCUCACCUAUUACAUAUCUAUUUUUUUUUCUCUCGACUGCGCCAUGUUUGCUUGUGUCAAAACGAGUUGCCUUGCUCUGCUGUCAAGGCGUUCCACAUCUCCGAUCAUUAUCCCCAAGUGUCUUCUGCAGGUUGCAUCAUAUGCAUUCGAUAUUUGAUUUGCAUGCCUUGGUUGCUCUGGUUCACUAGUAUCAUGGCUAAUUUGGUUCUACCACCUGUUGUUGCAGAGUUGCUCAAUUUUCCUCUACUUGACUUGAUCAUUACAUGCUCUCUCAAGUUGAUUGCCUACUCUUUUGCUUUUAUCUAUAAUACAUCAAAAUCAUUGCUAGGUUGAACCCAUAUCAGUUGGUACCAUAAUAUUGUUUAUUUGCUCAAAGACUAGUAAUGUGUUGGUCUUUAUUUAGUAGACGGCCAUUUCGACUCCAUGUGCUUGACUAUAUGGCUCUGUUUAGUAUGCUACUAGCUAGACGUCGUCUAUUUGGACUUCCUUCUGAAUAUUAUUGUUUCUUUUGCUGACCAUAUUCUGCUCUUUUUUUUAGGAUAACGAGGGGGGCUAAGCGGCAGCGGUGACCUCCUUCUUCGGCUCCAUGUGCUUUGGUCAAUAAGGACUUCAAUCAAAUCACAGCCUCUUCGUUUACAUUGUACAUGUCCAUCAGCAUGUUCAUGUUAUUUACUUUGACUUUUACAAGGCUGGGAGCAUAGAAGGCUUGUGUCUGAUGCAUGACCGGAGGGUGGAAGAACAACAAGGGAAAGCUGUACUCCUCUUUUUUUGUCAAACCAGAAUUUGAAUGGGUGGGUUGUAAUUCUUGUGGCCUUUUAUUUCUGAUGCCAAAUCUGGAAUGGUGGGUGAUAGCUUGUAAUGCUUCAGACUAACGUCUGUUUGGUUCUUGGGUUGUGCUGUUGCACAUCUUUUGA